GAUGAAGAACUUAGUGAAAUGCGAUACGUAAUGUGAAUUGCAGAAUUCAGUGAAUCAUCGAGUCUUUGAACGCACAUUGCGCCCCCUGGUAUUCCGGGGGGCAUGCCUGUCCGAGCGUCAUUGCUGCCCUCAAGCACGGCUUGUGUGUUGGGCCUCCGUCCUCCUCCCGGGGGACGGGCCCGAAAGGCAGCGGCGGCACCGCGUCCGGUCCUCGAGCGUAUGGGGCUUCGUCACCCGCUCUUGUAGGCCCGGCCGGCGCUUGCCGACACAUCAAUCUUUUUUCCAGGUUGACCUCGGAUCAGGUAGGGAUACCCGCUGAACUUAAGCAUAUCAAUAAGCGGAGGA
rnacentral:misc_RNA from 1 species